AUUGAACGCUGGCGGCAGGCUUAACACAUGCAAGUCGGGCGGGGUGAUGGUGCUUGCACUAUCACUUAGCGGCGGACGGGUGAGUAAUGCUUAGGAAUCUGCCUAUUAGUGGGGGACAACAUCUCGAAAGGGAUGCUAAUACCGCAUACGUCCUACGGGAGAAAGCAGGGGAUCACUUGUGACCUUGCGCUAAUAGAUGAGCCUAAGUCGGAUUAGGUAGUUGGUGGGGUAAAGGCCUACCAAGGCGACGAGCUGUAGCGGGUCUGAGAGGAUGAUCCGCCACACUGGGACUGAGACACGGCCCAGACGCCUACGGGAGGCAGCAGUGGGGAAUAUUGGACAAUGGGGGGAACCCUGAUCCAGCCAUGCCGCGUGUGUGAAGAAGGCCUUAUGGUUGUAAAGCACUUUAAGCGAGGAGGAGGCUCUUUUGGUUAAUACCCAAGAUGAGUGGACGUUACUCGCAGAAUAAGCACCGGCUAACUCUGUGCCAGCCGCCGCAGUAA
rnacentral:rRNA from 1 species